GGAGGGAAGGGCGAUACCAGCUCAGAAUGGUGGGUGAGUAUACAGUGCUGCCUUCUCUCCUGGCAUAAAUCCCUUUACAAGCCAGAACACACAGAGAAAGAAAGAAAUGAAUUUAUCUCAACAGUAGAAAACAAAGAAAGGACUCUGAAAAGCAGGGAGCAGAGAAAUGGACUGAAGAAGGAGAUCACAGCCCAAGAUGCAACUGAGAUGGAACUGAGAGAAGCUACAAAGCUACAAAAGAUGGAGGAAGCCUGGUUGACUCUGUGUCUGAAAAUGGCAGCUACUAGAGCAGGAGAGGAUCUGGAAUACACAGAGAAAGGACCAAUUAACUUUUCUCUUAACUGAGAUUUGUCUGUGAUUCUGGAGACUACAGUUUUAAUCCCUCCACUAUUCUCCUGCCAAGUCAUAAAAGAAAAGUUACAGUAAUCUCGAGGUCUGCACAAAGUGUCCCUUCAUUCACUUCAUUUUUUUUUUCUUUUUAGGGCCACACUUGCAACAUACAGAUAUUCCCAGGCUAGGGGUCUAAUCAGAACUACAGCUGCCGGUCUAUACCACAGCCACAGCAAUGCCAGAUCCAAUCCGCGUCUGCGACCUACACCACAGCUCACAGCAACACUGGAUCCUAAACCUGCUGAGCAAGGCCAGGGAUUGAACAUACAACCUCAUGGUUCCUAGCUGGAUUUGUUUCUGCUGUACCAUUACAGGUACUCCUGCUUAAUAUUUUGUAUAAUUUCUGUCAUUUAGAAGUUAGCAACUCAUGGAUACCUCUGUCUGUACACAUGUGCCUUCCUCAGUUUUGGAAUAGCAGACACUAUUAAUAUGUGCUUGAGUCACAGUGAGACCAAACCAUUAUGGUCCCAAGCUAGCCCCUCGAUACCUGGAUACAUUGCCAGCACUGUGGUCAAGGGCAACAGGUAGCCAGCCUAAUCCCAAUCCAUCCAGCACAUAACACCUGCUCACGUGUGGAUUCAUUCACCUACUGUUUCCUUUUGUUGUAUCUCAGCUGCUAAUCCAAGACCAACCAGGAGAAGGCAGUACAGGCUAAACAACAGAAG
rnacentral:lncRNA from 1 species